GAUUCGGGGUGCAGCAGGCGCGAAAACUUUACACUGCGGGAAACCGCGAUAAGGGGACCCCGAGUGCCAGCACCUAGUGCUGGCUGUCCCGCUGUCCAAACAACAGUGGUUAGCAAGGGCCGGGCAAGACCGGUGCCAGCCGCCGCGGUAACACCGGCGGCCCGAGUGGUAGCCGCUAUUAUUGGGUUUAAAGGGUCCGUAGCCGGCCUGUUAAGUCUCUUGGGAAAUCUGGCGGCUUAAUCGUCAGGCGGCCAAGAGAUACUGACAGGCUUGGGACCGGGAGAGAUGGGAGGUACUCCAGGGGUAGGGGUGAAAUCUUGUAAUCCUUAAGGGACCACCGAUGGCGAAGGCAUCCCAUCAGAACGGGUCCGACGGUGAGGGACGAAAGCUGGGGGCACGAACCGGAUUAGAUACCCGGGUAGUCCCAGCUAUAAACGAUGCUCGCUAGGUGUCAGGUACGGUGCGACCACAUCUGGUGCCGCAGUGAAAACCUGAAGCGAGUCACCUGGGAAGUACGGUCGCAAGGCUGAAACUUAAAGGAAUUGGCGGGGGAGCACAAUCACUAGUGAAUU
rnacentral:rRNA from 1 species